AUACCGUGAUGGGCACAUCUUCGCAAUAACUCCUUAAACCUUUCUCAUGCAUCAUAUAAAGAUUCACCUUCUAUUUGAAAGACAUUAUUAAUCUCAGCUCUCAACCU